rnacentral:rRNA from 1 species
CCUACGGGAGGCAGCAGUGGGGAAUCUUGCGCAAUGGGCGAAAGCCUGACGCAGCGACGCCGCGUGAGGGAUGAAGGUCUUCGGAUCGUAAACCUCUGUCAGCAGGGAAGAACGGUCACUGUGCUAAUCAGCAGUGAAUUGACGGUACCUGCAAAGGAAGCACCGGCUAACUCCGUGCCAGCAGCCGCGGUAAUACGGAGGGUGCGAGCGUUAAUCGGAAUUACUGGGCGUAAAGCGCUCGUAGGCGGUAUGUCAAGUCAAGGGUGAAAUCCCCGGGCUCAACGUGGGAACGGCCUUGGAAACUGGCAAACUGGAGUGUGUGAGAGGAGAGUGGAAUUCCAGGUGUAGGAGUGAAAUGCGUAGAUAUCUGGAGGAACAUCAGUGGCGAAGGCGACUAUCUGGCACAUAACUGACGCUGAGGAGCGAAAGCGUGGGUAGCAAACAGGAUUAGAUACCCGGGUAGUC